UACGGGAGGCAGCAGUGGGGAAUAUUGCACAAUGGGCGCAAGCCUGAUGCAGCCAUGCCGCGUGUAUGAAGAAGGCCUUCGGGUUGUAAAGUACUUUCAGUCGUGAGGAAGGUGUUAAGGUUAAUAACCUUAGCAAUUGACGUUAGCGACAGAAGAAGCACCGGCUAACUCCGUGCCAGCAGCCGCGGUAAUACGGAGGGUGCGAGCGUUAAUCGGAAUUACUGGGCGUUAAAGGGCACGCAGGCGGUUAAUUAAGUUGGAUGUGAAAUCCCCGGGCUUAACCUGGGAAUGGCAUUCAAGACUGGUUAGCUAGAGUCUUGUAGAGGGGGUAGAAUUCCAUGUGUAGCGGUGAAAUGCGUAGAGAUGUGGAGGAAUACCGGUGGCGAAGGCGGCCCCUGGACAAGACUGACGCUCAUGUGCGAAAGCGUGGGGAGCAAAC
rnacentral:rRNA from 1 species